GUGAAUCUCCGGGCUCACUCGGGAACUGCCUUUGAUACUGUCUGGCUUGAAUCUCGUAGAGGUGAGUGGAAUUUCUCGUGUAGCGGUGAAAUGCUUAGAUAUCUGGAGGAACACCGAUGGCGAAGGCGGCUCCCUGGACAAAUAUUGACGCUGAGGCGCGAAAGCGUGGGGAGCAAACAGGAUUAGAUACCCUGGUAGUCCACGCCCUAAACGAUGGAUACUCGACGUUUGCGAUAUUGAGGAUGUGUCUGAGCAAAUAAAUUAAUUAUCCCACCUGCGGGGGAGGACCGCCAGGUUGAAACUCCUAGGAAGUGUUGGCGG
rnacentral:rRNA from 1 species